UUAGCGCGAAUGCAGUGAGAAUCUGCAUGGCCGAAAGCCUCAGGUUUUUGGAGGAAGGUUCGUCCGCUCCAAGUUAGUCGGGAGCUAAGGUGAGGCCGAAAGGCGUAGCCGAUGCACAGACGGUAGAGAUUCCGUCACCACCAAAAGAGUUAAGCACAGGGACACAUAAGAAGUCUCAGAGCCGGGUGUUGGUUCCGGUAGAGAUCGAGGGAAAAUAGUACCGAAGUCUGGGAUGGAAGAUGGCGAGAAAAGCUGUGUGGAUUUCUGAGGUGCCCGUACCGCAAACCGACACAGGUAGGUAGGAAGAAGAUUCUAAGGCCAACGGGAGAAGGGUUGUUAAGGAACUCGGCAAAUUGACCCCGUAACUUCGGGAGAAGGGGUGCUCCAGAGAUGGAGCCGCAGAGAAUCGGCCCAAGCAACUGUUUACCAAAAACACAGGUUUGUGCUAAAUCGAAAGAUGACGUAUACGAGCUGACGCCUGCCCGGUGCUGGAAGGUUAAGAGGAGAUGUGCAAGCAUUGAAUCGAAGCCCCAGUGAACGGCGGCCGUAACUAUAACGGUCCUAAGGUAGCGAAAUUCCUUGUCAGGUAAGUUCUGACCCGCAUGAAAGGCGUAAUGAUUUGGGCACUGUCUCAACAGCCCGCCCGGCGAAAUUGUAGUACCGGUGAAGAUGCCGGUUGCCCGCGACAAGACGGAAAGACCCCAUGGAGCUUUACUGUAGCCUAAUAUUGGGUUUCGAUGUUGCAUGCACAGGAUAGAUGGGACUCUGGGAAGUGAUCGCUUUGGCGGUCAUGGAGAGGACGUUGGGAUACCAUCCUUGCGAUAUUGGAAUUCUAACCUGCGGCUCUGAAUCGAGUCGGGGGACAUUGUUAGGUGGGCAGUUUGACUGGGGCGGUCGCCUCCUAAAGAGUAACGGAGGCGUUCAAAGGUUCGCUCAGCUUGAACGGAAAUCAAGCAAAAGAGUGCAAACGCAGAAGCGAGCCUAACUGCGAGACUGACGGGUCGAGCAGUAACGAAAGUUGGAGUUAGUGAUCCGGUGGUAUGUGAGUGGAAAUGCCAUCGCUCAACGGAUAAAAGUUACCCUGGGGAUAACAGGCUGAUCUCCCCCAAGAGUCCACAUCGACGGGGAGGUUUGGCACCUCGAUGUCGGCUCAUCGCAUCCUGGGGCUGUAUUCGGUCCCAAGGGUUUGGCUGUUCGCCAAUUAAAGCGGUACGCGAGCUGGGUUCAGAACGUCGUGAGACAGUUCGGUCCCUAUCUGUCGUGGGCGCAGGAUAUUUGAUGGGAGCUGUCCCUAGUACGAGAGGACCGGGACGGACGUACCUCUGGCGCACCAGUUGUUCCGCCAGGAGCAUAGCUGGGCAACUACGUACGGAUCGGAUAAACGCUGAAAGCAUCUAAGCGUGAAGCCGACCCAAAGAUAAGAUAUCCCACUGAUUCAAUCAGGUAAGAUCCCUUGAAGACUACAAGGUUGAUAGGCACGAUGUGUAAGUGGAGCGAUCCAUUCAGCAAGUGUGUACUAAUAGAUCGAGGGCUUGACU
rnacentral:rRNA from 1 species